GACUGCGAUCAUAUCAGCGUUAAUGCACCGGAUCCCAUCAGAACUCCGCAGUUAUGCGGGCUUGGGCUAGAGUAGUACUAGGAUGGGUGACCUCCUGGGAAGUCCUAGUGUUGCACCCU
rfam:Picea glauca, whole genome shotgun sequence.